GGAGAAGUACUCAAGAGGCUGAAGAGGACGGUUUGCUAAACCGUUAGGGUUCGUAUAGGGCCGCAUGGGUUCGAAUCCCAUCUUCUCCGCCA
rnacentral:tRNA from 2 species